GCUCCCCCAGGGAUUUGGCAGCAGAGCUCACACAGGCACGGAAACAGGGGCAUCUGCACCACACUUCCUUCCUCCUUACGUGGUCACUGCAGAUCUGCAUACAAAGAGAAAUACUGAAGACAAUGCCACAGUCCCUGCCGUAGUCCCAGAGGAAUGAAUGCCAUCCUUUCCAUGGGUUGAGAAAAGACAGAAGCCACCGAGAUGUCUUUCUGUGUCACCCACGAUAUUUUGUUGCUAAUUCUCUUCGUGUCUUCUGCCCACACUUUGUUUUGGUUGUCAAAGUCCGUUACUGAGGCAAGACUAAGAUCACCCCGCUCUGACAGUCGAAGAUUGACUCGGCGGGACAUACCAUGAGUUAUGUGUACAGGGAAAGCAUCAACAUGAAACAUAUUAAGUUCCACCCAACAGAUGACAAGAAAAUAAUUCAUAGCUGUGCAGACAGUAAGUGCAUAUUUAAAUGUAUGUAACUUAAAUAUACUGAUUCAUCUUUCUCUAGCUCUCUAUAUCUCACAUAUUUGUCCUUCUCUGGAUAUGUUACAGCUAUAGAACAUCGCUAUAUGCAUAGUCAUGAUAGUCAUUAAUUAACUACUAGCAUAGUGUUUGUUUAUUUAUCUGUUUAUGUAUUUCGAGAUACUGCCACAUGUAGCCAAGGCUGUCCCUGAGCUGACUAUGUAAUCAUGCAUCUGUGAUCUUCUACCUCCAUGUCCUGAGUCCAGAGUUCACAGGUUGAUAGCUUCGUACCAAGUUUAUGGUGUGCUGGUGAUCAAACUCAGGACCUCCUGUGUACAAGGCAAGUGCUGGACUGAGCUACAUCCCAGCUCUAUCACUCAGAAUACAAGAGUGUAAAGCUUGAAUAAACACAAUGGCCUUGGGGCCAGAGAGACGGCUCAGUGUGUAGAGGUGCUGCGAACUAAGCAUGAACGGCUGCCUGAGUCCCAUUCCUGAGACCCAUGUGGUGGAUGGAGAGAACCAACUCUAGAAAGCUAUCUUCUGACCUCCACUUGUGAGCCAUGGUACGGGUGCAUGCAUGCA